rnacentral:rRNA from 1 species
UACGGUAGGGAGCAAGCGUUGUCCGGAAUCAUUGGGCGUAAAGCGCGCGUAGGCGGCCUCAUAAGUCCGUUGUGAAACGUCAAAGGCUCAACCUUUGAAACCGAUGGAUACUGUGAGGCUAGAGUCCGGAAGAGGCGAGUGGAAUUCCUGGUGUAGCGGUGGAAUGCGCAGAUAUCAGGAGGAACACCGGUGGCGAAGGCGGGUCUCUGGGCAGUAACUGACGCUGAGGAGCGAAAGCGUGGGGAGCGAACAGG